rnacentral:rRNA from 1 species
AGUGAACGCUGGCGGUGGGCCUAACACAUGCAAGUCGAACGGCAGCACAGUAAGAGCUUGCUCUUACGGGUGGCGAGUGGCGGACGGGUGAGGAAUACAUCGGAAUCUACUUUUUCGUGGGGGAUAACGUAGGGAAACUUACGCUAAUACCACAUACGACCUACGGGUGAAAGCAGGGGAUCUUCGGACCUUGCGCGAUUGAAUGAGCCGAUGUCGGAUUAGCUAGUUGGCGGGGUAAAGGCCCACCAAGGCGACGAUCCGUAGCUGGUCUGAGAGGAUGAUCAGCCACACUGGAACUGAGACACGGUCCAGACUCCUACGGGAGGCAGCAGUGGGGAAUAUUGGACAAUGGGCGCAAGCCUGAUCCAGCCAUACCGCGUGGGUGAAGAAGGCCUUCGGGUUGUAAAGCCCUUUUGUUGGGAAAGAAAAGCAGCAGGUUAAUACCCCGCUGUUCUGACGGUACCCAAAGAAUAAGCACCGGCUAACUUCGUG